AUGACUAUCAUGACUCCCGCCCCUCUCGAGGAGAACGACGAGAUGCUUGUUCCCCACCAGGAGCUAGCCACCGCCGAUGCAGACACUGCCCAGCCCAUGGAAGUGGUGGCACAGACGGAAGCGGCAAGCACAGCCGAGAGCCAGCCUUCUGAGGACCCACAGACAUCGCGGUUCACUUGGACAAUCGCAAGUUUUACCCGGCUCAACGGGAAGAAGCACUACUCUGAUGUGUUUGCCGUCGGUGGGUACAAAUGGCGUGUUCUUAUUUUCCCCAAGGGGAAUAAUGUGGAGCACCUGUCAAUGUACUUGGACGUCGCCGACUCGGUCAAUCUCCCAUAUGGUUGGAGCCGUUCUGCCCAGUUUAGCUUAUCUGUUGUAAACCAGAUUGAUCAGAAGUAUACGACACGAAAAGAUACUCAACAUCAAUUUAGUGCACGUGAGAGUGAUUGGGGUUUCACUUCUUUUAUGCCUUUGAGUGAGUUAUAUGAUCCAAGUAGAGGUUACCUUGUGAAUGAUACUAUUGUUGUGGAGGCAGAGGUUGCUGCCCGCAAAAUGGUUGACUAUUGGACAUAUGACUCAAAAAAGGAAACAGGUUAUGUUGGUUUGAAAAACCAAGGAGCGACCUGUUAUAUGAACUCUCUUCUACAAACAUUGUACCACAUACCAUACUUCAGAAAGGCUGUGUAUCAUAUGCCAACCACCGAAAACGACAUGCCAUCUGGAAGUAUUCCCUUGGCUCUGCAAACCCUUUUUUAUAAGCUCCAGUACAGUGACAACAGUGUAGCUACAAAAGAGUUGACGAAAUCUUUUGGAUGGGACACAUAUGAUUCCUUCAUGCAGCAUGAUGUACAAGAGCUCAACAGAGUUCUCUGUGAGAAACUUGAAGAUAAGAUGAAGGGAACUGUUGUAGAAGGAACAAUCGAGCAAUUAUUUGAAGGUCACCACAUUAAUUAUAUUGAGUGUAUAAACGUGGACUAUAAAUCUAACAGGAAGGAGUCCUUUUAUGACCUUCAACUUGAUGUUAAAGGUUGUCGUGACGUGUAUGCAUCGUUCGAUAAAUAUGUUGAGGUUGAACGUCUUGAGGGCGAUAACAAGUAUCAUGCAGAGAAUCAUGGUUUACAGGAUGCAAAAAAGGGUGUUCUCUUCCUCGAUUUCCCCCCUGUUUUGCAACUUCAGCUGAAGCGUUUUGAGUACGAUUAUAUGAGAGAUACCAUGGUUAAGAUUAAUGACCGCUACGAGUUUCCUUUGCAACUUGAUCUGGAUAGAGAUGAUGGCAAGUAUCUUGCUCCAGAUGCAGAUAGAAGUAUAAGAAACCUUUAUACUCUCCACAGCGUUCUUGUUCAUAGCGGAGGAGUACAUGGUGGUCAUUACUAUGCAUUCAUACGGCCAACGCUAGCAGAUCAAUGGUAUAAAUUUGAUGACGAGCGUGUAACAAAAGAAGAUACUAAAAAGGCCUUUGAAGAGCAGUAUGGGGGUGAGGAAGAGUUACCUCAAAUAAACCCUGGAUUCAACAACACUCCAUUCAAAUUCACGAAGUAUUCAAAUGCCUACAUGCUUGUAUACAUCCGUGAGAGUGACAAAGAGAAAAUAAUGUGUAAUGUUGAUGAGAAGGACAUUGCUGAACAUUUAAGGAUAAGGUUGAAGAAAGAACAAGAAGAGAAAGAACAUAAGAAGAAAGAAAAAGCUGAAGCCCAUCUCUAUACCAUCAUAAAGAUUGCCCGGGAUGAGGAUUUAAAGGAGCAAACUGGUAAGGACAUAUAUUUUGAUCUGGUGGACCAUGAAAAGGUCCGUAGCUUCCGAAUACAGAAGCAAUUGCCAUUUAGUACUUUCAAGGAGGAAGUUGCAAAGGAAUAUGGCAUCCCAGUACAGUUUCAGCGCUUCUGGCUGUGGGCUAAGAGGCAAAACCAUACAUACAGACCAAAUCGCCCAUUGAAUCCUCAUGAAGAAACACAAUCUGUGGGGCAACUGAGGGAGAUAUCAAAUAAGGCACAGAAUGCUGAACUGAAGCUGUUUUUGGAAGUGGAAUUUGGACUGGAUUUGCAGCCUCUUCCUCCUCCCGAGAAGAGCAAGGAAGAUAUUCUUCUUUUCUUCAAACUGUACAAUCCCGAAAAAGAAGUGCUUUGUUUUGUGGGGCGGUUCUUUGUAAAGGCCUUGGGGAAACCUUCAGAUAUUUUGAGAAAACUAACUGAAAUGGCUGGGUUUACCCCGGAUGAAGAGAUCGAGCUAUAUGAGGAAAUUAAGUUUGAGCCAAAUGUAAUGUGCGAACAUAUUGACAAGAAGCUUACUUUCCGUGCUAGUCAGCUUGAAGAUGGGGACAUAGUCUGUUUCCAAAAGUCACCUAAAGCAGACAGUGGUACUCAAGUGCGCUAUCCUGACGUCCCUUUGUUUUUGGAGUAUGUUCAUAAUAGGCAGGUUGUGCACUUUCGGUCGUUGGAGAAACCAAAGGAUGAUGAAUUUUGUUUGGAAUUGUCAAAGCUUCACACAUACGAUGAUGUUGUUGAGAGAGUUGCCCACCAGCUUGGGUUGGAUGAUCCAGCGAAAAUUCGCCUUACAUCCCAUAACUGCUAUUCACAGCAGCCUAAACCGCAACCCAUCAGAUAUCAGGGUGUGGAGCAUUUAUUGGACAUGCUCGUCCACUAUAAUCAGACGUCUGACAUCUUGUAUUACGAAGUAUUGGAUAUUCCUUUGCCGGAAUUGCAGUUCCUUAAAACCCUUAAAGUUGCAUUCCACCAUGCUACAAAGGAGGAGGUUGUCAUUCACAGCAUCAGGCUUCCUAAGAACAGCACCAUUGCUGAUGUGAUAAUUGACUUGAAAACUAAGGUUGAUCUAUCCAGUCCCACUGCCGAGCUACGCGUGCUAGAGGUCUUUUACCACAAGAUCUAUAAGAUCUUUCCACUUCACGAGAAGAUAGAGAAUAUAAAUGAUCAGUACUGGACGCUACGUGCUGAAGAGGUUCCAGAGGAGGAGAAAAAUCCCAGUCAGAAUGAUCGCUUAAUCCAUGUUUAUCACUUCGCGAAAGAUUCUCUUCAGAAUCAAAUUCAGAAUUUUGGAGAUCCUUUUUUUCUUGCCAUCCGUGAAGGUGAGACUUUAGCGGAAGUAAAGAGCCGCAUACAGAGAAAACUCCAGGUCCCUGAUGAAGAAUUCUCCAAGUGGAAAUUUGCAUUCAUAUCUAUGAAUCGGCCAGACUACCUACAAGAUUCUGAUGUUGUAUCUGCUCGUUUCCAGAGGAGAGAUGUCUAUGGAGCUUGGGAACAAUAUCUUGGGCUGGAGCAUACUGACACUGCACCAAAAAGGGCCUAUACAGCCAAUCAGAACCGUCACACGCAUGAGAAGCCGGUGAGGAUAUACAAUUAG
rnacentral:rRNA from 1 species